rnacentral:rRNA from 1 species
AGAGUUUGAUCCUGGCUCAGAAUCAACGCUGGCGGCGCCUUAACACAUGCAAGUCGAACGAGAAAGUGGAGCAAUCCAUGAGUAAAGUGGCGUACGGGUGAGUAACACGUGGAUUAUCUGCCCUUGAGUGGGGAAUAACGAUGGGAAACCGUCGCUAAUACCGCAUAUUCCCGAGAGGGGAAAGCAGCAAUGCGCUGAGAGAGGAGCCCGCGGCCGAUUAGCUAGUUGGCAGGGUAAAAGCCUACCAAGGCAGAGAUCGGUAGCCGGCCUGAGAGGGCACACGGCCACACUGGCACUGAAACACGGGCCAGACUCCUACGGGAGGCAGCAGUGGGGAAUCUUGCACAAUGGGGGAAACCCUGAUGCAGCGACGCCGCGUGAGCGAUGAAGCCCUUCGGGGUGUAAAGCUCUUUCGGCAGGGAAGAUAGUGACGGUACCUGCAGAAGCAGCUGCGGCUAACUACGUGCCAGCAGCCGCGGUAAUACGUAGGCAGCGAGCGUUGUUCGGAGUUACUGGGCGUAAAGGGUGUGUAGGCGGUUGUUUAAGUUUGGUGUGAAAUCUCCCGGCUCAACUGGGAGGGUGCGCCGAAUACUGAAUGACUAGAGUACGGGAGAGGAAAGUGGAAUUCCUGGUGUAGCGGUGAAAUGCGUAGAUAUCAGGAGGANNCCGGUGGUGUAGACGGCUUUCUGGACCGUAACUGACGCUGAGACACGAAAGCGUGGGUAGCAAACAGGAUUAGAUACCCUAGUAGUCC